CGCAAAGAUUACUGACCAUUCUACCCUUCUUAUUUUUCUUUUGGUUCUUAGCGAUAUGCUGCUUUGGCAGCAGUUACGAGUUUAGGUCUUUGGUUUAUUCACUUUGGUUUCACUCUGCACCGUAUUAGUCGUCGCGGGCUUUGGAGUCGUCUUUGCCAGAUCAUCCAUUCGCACUAUGUCAGAGAGGCUGAGCUUCUUUGGUAGAGGCUGCGCGUGACCAACGAUACCGUAUGGGCGCAGAUGAUAAAUCAAAUAGUCCAGCACGUACAUUUGAUUUGGUGAAACGUAGUGAAAUGAGAUAGCAUUAUCGGAGCAACAAUCGAGACCCU